ACUGCUCUAGGUUGGCUACUGCAGUCUUGUUAUCAAGCUAAAAAUAGUACUCUUUCCUCACUAAAGCGAUCCACCCUUUAAGAAAAGCGAUCCAUCAACUGAACCAAAAAGCUCCCUCACAUCGUAGACAAUUGAAACGAGGUUUUCAGUGACAAGACAUUUCGUAAGGAACGAAGCCUUCAAGUUCAGGUCCAUUGAGACGAGGAUUGUUUUCAAAGCUGCAUCCACAACCAUUCGAAAGCAUUUCUUCAGUCAGAAAGAACUGACUUGAUACACCUCUAAACUAAACUAUUUCGAGAGAACGUACAUGAAUUUUCACAGAUUCAAGGGAAGUGGCACCGAAUAGGGUUUCAAGAGCCAAGCGGAGAUUAACUUUUGUUUAAAUUGAGAACUCACCUUUUGGCUUGAAGGUGACUGAAAGAGCCCGUAACUGGAAUGGUGCCGCAUAAGUCAUUGUUUGACAUAUCACUGUAACCCGUAUUCCACACAAAGAGUCGAUCAGCUCAAAUCUUCAUUUUACAAAGCACCACGAGAAAAUAUUCUGUGCAACAAACAUGUCCAUUAUCAUGCCAAAGCUCUCACUUAAGCAACGAAGCUUUCUAGCGCUAUUUUAGGCUGGCUAAACUAGAAACCUUAGACCUUGACCUUAGCGCUGACUACAGGAUCGUCCGAUAGGCUUACACAGCUUUGAGUGUAGUAAUUGACGUCAAUUCACGUGGAAUACGUCCUGUCAGAUGGUUGCUGUUUAGACGUCUGUAGCCAGAGAAAAUUUAACAUCUAGUUAGGAACUUAUGGAGAUAUACUAGCACCAGGAUUUCAAUAUUCAGCAACAAAAGUAAUCCAUCUUUUCAAUCAAUUAGUACUUGUUAUCGAGCUCACCCUCUCAAAAAGAUUCACAAACCACGACUUCCUACACUAAAGAUGAGAGUAAUCAACUCACAGAAAUGCCAGAUUAGAGAUCUUUCCGAGAGAUCGAGGGAUGGAGCCAGUGAAAUUGUUGUGGUACAAGUCUAAGCUCACAAGUGACUUCAAAAUAUCAAGAAUCCAUCCAAAAUGGUCAGUCGCUCUUUUCACAUUAUUAUUAUUAACGUUGACUGAAGUAAAGAUCGAGAAUUAAUUGAAAAAAUGAUCCUGAAAGUCAAAAUAGCACUCACCUUCAACUUUCCAAAUUCCGAAGGAAUGUGACCAGUGAGGUUGUUCUUGUACAAUUCCCUGACCACGGCAUGAGAUUUCAGGAAGUAUCAGCACCUACCACUGGUUUUCCCAUUACUGUUAUCUCUUCUGACAUUCCGAUUGGCUAAGGGGAAAAAGAGUUGCGACGAGCUCUCUUCAGAUGGAGUCCAAGUCUAUGCCAAAUUUGAGCAUGAAACUCACUCAUGCUCGAACGGACUUUCAAUUUGCGGGAGUGUGGAAUAAGUCGAAAAUAACCAAUCUUACAAGUAAAUUAUGCAACAAUGUUUAAACUCUUACAGGUACUGCAGGUGCUGGAGGUCUCCAAGUUCAGGAACCAACGACCCAG
rnacentral:lncRNA from 1 species